rnacentral:tRNA from 1 species
GCCCGGAUGGUGGAAUGGUAGACACAAGGGACUUAAAAUCCCUGGGCCGAAAGGCUGUGCGGGUUCGAGUCCCGCUCUGGGUACCA